GAAUUUUAUAUUUUAAUAUGUAAUAAUAUAUAAUUAAAAUAUUUUAUUGGGAGGAUAUUUAAAUUUAAUAAACUUUAAUUAUUAAUAACAUUGAUGAAUGAGAAAAUUUUAAAAAAUAUUAAUAUUUAAGAAUAAAUGAAUAAUUAUGAAUUAUUAAAGAAUUAAUUACCUUAGGGAUAACAGCAUAAUAUUUUUUUGUAGUUCAUAUAUAAAAAAAUGCUUGU
rnacentral:rRNA from 1 species